GGGGCAACCCACCUUAAAUGCUUGGAAAAUUUAAGACGAUCUGUUGAUCGUCUUAUCUUUCCAAGCAUUGUGAUAAGGUAUCUGCACCUGAAUACAUAGGGUGUAAGAAGCGAACGCAGGGAACUGAAACAUCUAAGUACCUGCAGGAAAGGACAUCAACCGAGACUCCGCAAGUAGUGGCGAGCGAACGCGGACCAGGCCAGUGGCAAUUGUGAUUAAAGUGGAACGCUCUGGAAAGUGCGGCCGUAGUGGGUGACAGCCCCGUACGCGUAGAUAUCACGAUUGUCCUAGAGUAGGGCGGGACACGAGAAAUCCUGUCUGAACAUGGGGAGACCACUCUCCAAGCCUAAGUACUCGUGCAUGACCGAUAGCGAACAAGUACCGUGAGGGAAAGGUGAAAAGCACCCCGACAAGGGGAGUGAAAUAGAACCUGAAACCGGAUGCCUACAAACAGUCGGAGGGGGCAACCCUGACGGCGUACCUUUUGUAUAAUGGGUCAACGACUUAGUGUAACAAGCAAGCUUAAGCCGGUAGGUGUAGGCGCAGCGAAAGCGAGUCUGAAUAGGGCGAUAUAGUUUGUUGCAUUAGACCCGAAACCGAGUGAUCUAGCCAUGAGCAGGUUGAAGGUUGGGUAACACCAACUGGAGGACCGAACCCGCAUCUGUUGCAAUAGAUUGGGAUGACUUGUGGCUAGGGGUGAAAGGCCAAUCAAACUCGGAAAUAGCUGGUUCUCCGCGAAAUCUAUUUAGGUAGAGCGUCGAGCGAAUACCCCCGGGGGUAGAGCACUGGAUGGGCUAUGGGGACUCACCGUCUUACUGAUCCUAACCAAACUCCGAAUACCGGGGAGUACUACUCGGCAGACACACGGCGGGUGCUAACGUCCGUCGUGAAAAGGGCAACAACCCUAACCUCCAGCUAAGGUCCCCAAGUCAUGGCUAAGUGGGAAAGGAUGUGAGGAUCCCAAAACAACCAGGAUGUUGGCUUAGAAGCAGCCAUCAUUUAAAGAAAGCGUAACAGCUCACUGGUCUAAAUAAGGGUCUUUGCGCCGAAAAUGUAACGGGGCUGAAGCCAUGCACCGAAGCUGAGGAUUUGCAGUGAUGCAAGUGGUAGCGGAGCGUUCCGUAAGCUGAUGAAGGGAGACCCGUGAGGGCUCCUGGAGGUAUCGGAAGUGCGAAUGUUGACAUGAGUAACGAUAAAGAGGGUGAGAGACCCUCUCGCCGAAAGACCAAGGGUUCCUGCUUAAAGUUAAUCUGAGCAGGGUUAGCCGGCCCCUAAGACGAGGCGGACACGCGUAGUCGAUGGGAACCACGUUAAUAUUCGUGGGCCUGGUGGUAGUGACGGAUUGCACAAGUUGUUCUGGUUUAUUGGAUUAUCAGGGCAGCGGAGCGGUUCCAGGAAAUAGCUCCACCGUAUAGACCGUACCCGAAACCGACACAGGUGGUCAGGUAGAGUAUACCAAGGCGCUUGAGAGAACUAUGUUGAAGGAACUCGGCAAAUUGCACGCGUAACUUCGGAAGAAGCGUGACCCCAUUUUAGGCAACUAUGAUGGGGUGGCACAGACCAGGGGGUAGCGACUGUUUAUCAAAAACACAGGGCUCUGCGAAGUCGCAAGACGACGUAUAGGGUCUGACGCCUGCCCGGUGCUGGAAGGUUAAGAGGAGAGGUGCAAGCUUUGAAUCGAAGCCCCAGUAAACGGCGGCCGUAACUAUAACGGUCCUAAGGUAGCGAAAUUCCUUGUCGGGUAAGUUCCGACCUGCACGAAUGGCGUAACGACUUCCCCGCUGUCUCCAACAUAGACUCAGUGAAAUUGAAUUCCCCGUGAAGAUGCGGGGUUCCUGCGGUCAGACGGAAAGACCCCGUGCACCUUUACUAUAGCUUUACACUGGCAUUCGUGUCGGCAUGUGUAGGAUAGGUGGUAGGCUUUGAAGCGGGGACGCCAGUUUCCGUGGAGCCAUCCUUGAAAUACCACCCUUAUCGUCAUGGAUGUCUAACCGCGGCCCGUCAUCCGGGUCCGGGACAGUGUAUGGUGGGUAGUUUGACUGGGGCGGUCGCCUCCGAAAGAGUAACGGAGGCGCGCGAUGGUGGGCUCAGACCGGUCGGAAAUCGGUCGUCGAGUGCAAUGGCAUAAGCCCGCCUGACUGCGAGACUGACAAGUCGAGCAGAGACGAAAGUCGGUCAUAGUGAUCCGGUGGUCCCGCGUGGAAGGGCCAUCGCUCAACGGAUAAAAGGUACGCCGGGGAUAACAGGCUGAUGACCCCCAAGAGUCCAUAUCGACGGGGUUGUUUGGCACCUCGAUGUCGGCUCAUCGCAUCCUGGGGCUGGAGCAGGUCCCAAGGGUUUGGCUGUUCGCCAAUUAAA
rnacentral:rRNA from 1 species